rnacentral:rRNA from 1 species
GACGAACGCUGGCGGCGUGCUUAACACAUGCAAGUCGAACGGAAAGGCCCUGCUUUUGUUGGGUGCUCGAGUGGCGAACGGGUGAGUAACACGUGAGUAACCUGCCCUUGACUUUGGGAUAACUUCAGGAAACUGGGGCUAAUACCGGAUAGGAGCUCCUGCUGCAUGUUGGGGGUUGGAAAGUUUCGGUGGUUGGGGAUGGACUCGCGGCUUAUCAGCUUGUUGGUGGGGUAGUGGCUUACCAAGGCUUUGACGGGUAGCCGGCCUGAGAGGGUGACCGGCCACAUUGGGACUGAGAUACGGCCCAGACUCCUACGGGAGGCAGCAGUGGGGAAUAUUGCACAAUGGGCGGAAGCCUGAUGCAGCAACGCCGCGUGCGGGAUGACGGCCUUCGGGUUGUAAACCGCUUUCGCCUGUGACGAAGCGUGAGUGACGGUAAUGGGUAAAGAAGCACCGGCUAACUACGUG